CUUCCUUUCCUUUCUCUUUUUUUCUGUCCUUUUCUUUUUUUCUUUUCCUUCUUUUUCCUCUCUUUUCUUUCUUCUCUCUCUCCUUCUCCCUCCCUCCCUCUCUUUCUCUCCCUCCCUCUCUUUUUAGGCUCCUGCGGGUUCCCCCUGCCCGGAAGGGCACUCGCUCUGGUUUUCUAGGGCUCUGGUCCCAGGCUCCUCCGAAGCGCGCUUGCAGGCGCCCUUCGUCAGUCGCGGUCUCCCUGGGCUCUGUGUUUUGCUGGGCAACACCCCAUGCUAGGCUCGGCCGACCUACUGGCGGUUGGGUUCAGCCCUUGCAGCGCCAACACCUGCAGAGCUGAGGCUCCUGCCAAAAGGCAUAAAGCAAAGGAGGAAAAAUUCAUCGCCGUAAUAACGAAAAUGAUAAACCUCAGCUGUCUUACAGAAGAAUGUCAGAGUUAGACAUUCUGCCAUUUUACCAGGAAAUCUUUACAAACAUGUAGAAAAAUGUGACUGAUAUCUCUUCCCCUGCGGAUGGAGCAACAAACCGUUUGUGAUGAGAGGGUUCCAUUCCUGAACACGGCUGAUAUUAAGUUGUGAAUUGCCUGCCCAGGUAGUAUUCCUAGCCAUUGUUGUCUUGCUCGAAUGACCUGCAUUUUGUGGAAGCUGAGCUAUUUGGGGGUCAGCAUUACUUGCAAGGUAUAUUUCUUAAACUUAGAAGAUAUGUCUUCUCUGAACAAACUGAAUAUGAAAAAUUGCAGACUCAAACCAAGCACCAUGAUAGGUCCUGACGUUCCUGCUAAGAGGACACCUGGAGCAAUUGCUCCUGCAGAGUGCAACCCUCCUUGCAGAGUCCCUUUGUGCUCCACAGCCAUUUUGAAAGUAGUAGCAACAUUCUCUCUAAUGAGGGCAGACAAUGAGGGGAGCUGGCAAAUGGGAAAUUUAUUUCAUCCAGCCAGUCUCUGUCCAGGGAAGUUUACAGAUGUGAUUUUGACUCCUCACGUCAUGUCUAGCAGAGUGCUCUACAACCUUUCCUGGCAGUCCUCUCCAGCAACACACUAAGGAAAUGAUCCACUGAGGGUCAUAUCAGAUGUCACUAAGAGCUUGGUGUAAACUGGCCAUUUUAAUUGCCUCUCUAGACGGUCUCCAGUUGAUACAUUCUUGGCCUGGUUGUUCUGCUCCAUGCCAACUGCAUCAUAUUUCUAUCUUCCUCAGCAUCUUAAUCAUGCAGACUCUCCAUAAAUGUUUGUUAAAUCAAAGAGUGGUGGUGACUUCUAGUGAUCCCCAUCUGUACAAUGAUAGUAUUCAUCUCUUAGUUAAGAAAGGACUACCAUGGUGAGACGGUUGCGGUUGCUCUUUGACUGCACCAUGGCUUCUAGCUUUACUGACUCCAUGGACACUCUAGAUUUGACAAUCUAGUUUUUACUGAAGACUUCAACAAGCCUGGCACCAGUGAAGCAGACAUGGAGGAGAAAGCCACUGUGUCUCUUGGGACUGGAAAACUAAGAAGCAGCAGUGAGAACUCUGAAAAUGCCAAGUAAGUGUUGGUCGUGAGGAAAACAAAACACACUCACCCAAUGGCAUUGACUGCAGCGCCAUCUGAAAUAAACAUCUGACAUAGGCUAAACUCAAGUUUGUUUACAUAAUCCCAGCACUGGACUCACCAUCCACCGUUCAAUAAGCACCAAAUCCUUCCUCUAAAAGCAUGGUCCUUCUAACACCAUUCAAGAAAGAGGGUACAAAUUUGGAGAUUCCAUAAAUUUCAUAAGACUCAGGACUGUCUCAAGAUUGGUCUUGUAAAACAGGAAUCCCUGCUUUAGAGUUUUGGAGAGCUCAUUCUUAAAAUUCAUGGAAACUGGUGGAGGUAAAUCCAUCAAAGUCUUUUGCAAAGUAAUCAACACACUUUCUCCAAAUUUUCAUAUGAAGCCUAAAGAGACAAAAAUGAAAUCACAGUGGUAGAGCUCACUUUGUGGGUAGAAAGUGUGGAAUAGAGAAUGAGAUGUGAAGGUUAUGUGAAAAGCAUGCAUGCUCAUAUAUGUCCCAUUGCCCAACUGACUUCAUAAAGCUUCUCUGACCUUUGGCUUCUAUUUUCCCUUCUCCAAACAAAAUACUUGUAAAAUCUCAGGAAUCCCUUCAAUAGAGAACCACAAUUGUCCUUAAUAAAAACUACAGUAGAAGAAUAAUGGGAAUAUAUGAUGCCUGCUGUGAUCUGACACUAUAGACCUUGGUUUGAGUUUUGGAUAGGUCAUUAAGGUAGUCAGAUUAAUGGAGAAAAGGAGAACCAUCAAUGUAGAGCAUUUGAUUCCAAGUGGAAUGUUCUAGCGUUAUGAUGCCGCAGUCAUUCUCACCAUCUUUAAAUAGAACCAAAACUUACUCUCAGUGAAUGGUUAGCAUUCUUCUCAGAAUGAUCAAUGGUGUGUGAUUAAAACAGUUGUACAGGCCGUUGCUUCCAUACUCACUUAGGGAAGAACAGAGUACCCUAAAGGGAAGUCAGAGGACCUAUAGGGCACAGUGUCCCAACUUUGAAGCCAGGAUCCAAGUACUAACUGUCUCUAUUUGAUCAUCUUUUAAAACUAGCUUAACUACCCAAUGAAUGCCCUGAUCUGUUUAUUUUUUUCAUCAGAGCCUCAAUUGUAGAAUCAUCUCAGCUGAAGUGUCUAAUGUCUAAGAAUGUCUUUUCUUUCUUUCUUUUUUAUUUCUUUUCCUAUUUCAAAUUCUGCAUAAGAUCUUCUCUAGUUUCUUAACCUGUCUGCCUUAUAUGGCCUCAUCAGCCAAGGACAGGUCCUACUGAGAGCCUCUGACUUUAGGAUACUUCCUAUGUUCCAGCCUCCCAUUCUCAUGGCUAGUUCGCCUUCUUCUAGGGGAAACCUCUCUAUAUUCUUGCAGCAAGUGCAUGGUCCUCCUGCUAGACUUGGGUCCAUUUCUCUUUGGGUGCAGAGAAACAUACUUUCAAUUUUGAAAAGCUAAGUGCUGGUAUUCCCUCCUCUAUCCCAGAGGCCUACAUCUACUAGAAGCUAAGUGAUUGAAGUUCUUGGGAGGCCAGGGAAAACCUGCAUCUAGGUAUGACAUGAGUCCAUUG